UGAUCAAGCUGAAAAGACAUAUUUUGGAAUUUGUGGAAUGAAUUCAUUCAUUCUUUCAAUGAACUGUUUGUUGAAUGUAUUUUAUGAACCAGGCCCUAGGGGCUGAGGACAAGCAGUGAGCAAGACCAAGGUCCAUGUCAGAGACUUUUUUUUUUGGUCUAUUUUUUCAGCGACUUCUUUGAAUGAGAGAGACAGAUGUUAGACUAUUAAUACAUGAGCAUUUUAUUAUAAUUGUGAGAAGUAUUCUAGAUGAGAAAUGGUUUUGUACUAAGGUCAAACUGGGCAAACUCACCUGUUCUCAAUUUGCAAUGGGCAAGACUACUCUUUACAUGCUGGGGAUAAGAGCCAAUAGCCCAUAUCAUUUCAGAGCAUCCUAGCCUCACCAGGAUGAAAGUCCUGUUUCCAGCCCUGAAUAGGUGCUUUGAGGAGAAAAGGAUAGUUUCCUAGAAAGACCUGUGUAUGAAUCUAGGAGGCAUUAAAAAAAUUUUUUUUGUCUUUUUAGGGCCGUACCUGCGGCAUAUAGAGGUUCCCAGGCUAGGAGAGAAAUUGGAGCUGUAGCUGCUGGCCUACGCCAGAGCCACAGCAACGCCAGAUCCAAGCCGAGUCUGUGACCUACACCACAGCUCACAGCAAUGCUGGAUCCUUAACGCACUGAGCAGGGCCGGGGAUCGAACCUGCAUCCUCAUGGAUGCUAGUCAGAUUCAUUUCCACUGAGCCACGAUGGAAACUGACCUUGGAGGUAUUUAAUAAUUAGUGGAGUAUUCACUGGGGGAAAGUGGGUUAAGAACCCGACUGCAGUGGCUCCAAUUGCUGCAGAGGCAAGAGCUUAAUUGAUGAUCCUCUGGCCUGGCACAGUGAAUUAUAAAGGAUUUGGUGUUGCCUCAGUUCAGUGUAGGUUGCAGCUGUGGCUUAGAUUUAACCCCUGGCCCGGGAACUUCCAUAUGCCAUAGGUGCAGCCAUUAAAAAAAAAAAAGUAAAAAAAUAACUGGUGAAUACUGUCAUUUCAAGAAGGGUUAAAAAGUCACUGACUCUACCCGCAAAGGGUGUUACAAUGUGGUUGCUUAGGAAAGGAGAAAAUCUUAGCACUUUUAUUCCUAGCUUCCUGGAAGGGGAGGAAUUUAGGGACUAGGUGGGUCAUGGUAGGGGUGCUGAACUUCCUUUAGAGACUUUUAUUUUUUUAAAUUAAAAAAAUUUUUUUUUUGUCUUUUUGCCUUUUCUAGGGCCGCUUCCUGCGGCAUAUGGAGGUUCCCAGGCUAGGGGUCAAAUAGGAGCUGUAGCCUCCGGCCUACACCAGAGCCACAGCAACCAAUGCGGGAUCUGAGCCGAGUCUGCAACCUACACCACAUCUCAUAGCAACGCCGGAUCCUUAACCCACUGAGCAAGGCCAGGGAUCGAACCUGCAACCUCAUGGUUCCUGGUCGGAUUUGUUAACCACUGUGCCACGACGGGAACUCGACACUUUUAGAAUAGGUGUUGACACUGUGCUAGCUCGAAGAUACAUCAAUGAAUGACAAAGACAGGCUUCCUGCCCUCCCAGAGCUCAGGGUCAAUAAAAUAAUGUGAUACAAGUUCCCUUUAUGGCUCAGUGGGUUAAGGACUCAACACUGUCUCCAUGAGGAUGUGGGUUCAAACCCUGGCUUCACUCAGUGGGUUAAGGAUCCGGUGUGGCUGCAAGCUGUGGCAUAAGUCAGCCAGCUGUAGCUCAGAUUCGCCCCCUAGCCUGGGAUCUUCCAUAUGCUGCAGGUGUGGCUGUGAUGGGAAAAAAAAAAAAAGAAAAAAAAGUGUGAUAAGCAUUAUGAGGGGAGCAGGAAAGAGAAGAUAUCUAAGCUGGUUGCAGGAGGAUAAGUAAGAGCUGUGGCGAGGGGAAGGGCUAGCAGGAUCGAGUGCUCUGAGUGGAGGGACCAGCACAGGCAAAGGUCUAGAGGAGAGAAAGGAGGUUUAAUCAAAGACCUCAAAAUAGCUCAGCGUGUUCAGACUUUGAAGGAGAACUGUUAGGGAGAGAAAGAAUGUUAGAGAGAAAAGGCGAGCUGUUCCACCUACCUCAGGCAGCCUUCCUCUUGGGGGAAAACUAAAUGUCUCCAUUCCACAAGUAGUUAGGGUUAUGAAGUCCAGGCGGAUGCCUUUAUUUUAACAAAAAUACAUCAUUACCGACCACCCUGUUACAGAACACCGGCUCAGGCAGCCUUCAGGUUCACUCUUAUUCAUUCAAGAUCCUGACUCCCAUUUCACAGAUGGGAUAACCGAGGCUCAGUCUGAACUUUGUCCAAGGUCAUGUAGCUCACUACAUUUGGAAAUUUAGAGUGUUUCUUUACGUCAGUGCUUCUGUUCUAGCAGUUCUUUUCACAUGAGGUAACACAUGUAAAAGCUUUUUUGUAAUAGAGCCAAGUAUACAUGAAGCAUUAUUAUUAGUUUUGCUGGAUUUCUGGCUCUAUCCAGUUUAGCUUGCUGCAUGCAGGGAGCCCAGGAAGAGGCAAUAAUGAAAACCAAAAGGCCUCUCAAAAUUCCCUUGUGUCUAUUCUGGUUCCCUUUCUGGGGUACCUCCAGAUAUCAUCUUCUGCCAAAUAGAGUUUGUUUCUCAGAAGCUGCGAGAUGUGGGAGGUUUAAAAAAAAAAAAAAAAUCAGCAGCAUCAACAACUACAAAAACCCUUGCAGCAGUCUGAACACAAAGAGUUUGAAUUUUUAACAAAGGGCAGGGUAAGACCCAAAGUAAACGCUGACACAUCCUCUCUCCAGCUGUGAACUGGGGGUCUGAGGGCUGCUGCAAAGGUCAUCUGUCUCUGCAUCUUUGGGCAGGAAAUGCAAUUCAAUCCUCUCAGUGACUGAUCGCUCUGUAAGAUUAAUGGAAGCGUCCUCAACACUGGUCUCUGUUCUGACAGCACAAAAAGUGAGUCAAACUUCUCUCCUCCCUUCUGCUAUUACUAAGCAAGGUCAGCUGAUUCCACGUUUUAAAGUUCACAAGUUUUCUCCAGGAGAUUUGCUCCUGGGUAUUCUUUUGCAAGGCGAAACUCUUUUUCUGGCGUGAGAACCAAAGGUGGCACUUGAAGGCCUGGGGACCUUUCUGGGCUUUUCAUCUGUCCCUGCUUCAUCUUUCAAAAUAAAAUCAAUGUAAAGGGCAUGAUCUUCCCUGAAAGGGUUAACUGCCAGCCAGGCUGUCCAGCCUUCAGGAGAUUGGCAACCAAUGACAAUUUAGCAUGAUGAAGUAAUGCUUGCAUUUUGAUUUCCAUUGGUUACCACACAUGUCCAUCAAUCCAGAGAUGCAAGUUUUGAAAGUAUCUUUGAACUUUUAUGACUCUCUUCCUGGUGUUAACCCCUUGAUUAACUCACCUGUUAUUUCCAAGGUUCCUGCCAAUCCUCACACAGGAAGAGAGAGAAGAAUAUGCACAACUAUAGAGGUAAACC
rnacentral:lncRNA from 1 species